rnacentral:tmRNA from 1 species
GGGGCUGAAAGGAUUUCGACGGGGAUUUUGGUCCAUGGCAAGCGAGCAGCGGCACGGACCCGCUACAACAAGCCGUAGUUUAGAAAUAAACGACAACGAUUAUCAACUCCUUGCCGCUUAACCUUAACCGGUAGCGGCCGUCCUGCCCGGGAGGCCUGCGGCCCGGGACAGGGCGUCAUUGAGCAGGGCACGUGCACGGGCGGGACGCCUUGCCCCCCGUCAUGAAGAUACACGGCUACCGCAACGCGCGGCUUUUCUAUCGGCGGCGCGCGAGGGGAAUCGCAAUGAUAGGAUACGCUCGUAGAAAACCAUGGGGAUGGGUCUUCGGACGCGGCUUCGACUGCCGCCAGCUCCACCA